rnacentral:ribozyme from 1 species
GUUAUUACAAUUUUCUCUGCUCCUAACUACUGUGAUGUCUACAACAACAAGGGAGCAGUUCUGAAAUUAAAGAAUAA